rnacentral:rRNA from 1 species
GACGAACGCUGGCGGCGUGCCUAAUACAUGCGAGUCGAACGCUUCUUUCCUCCCGAGUGCUUGCACUCAAUUGGAAAGAGGAGUGGCGGACGGGUGAGUAACACGUGGGUAACCUACCCAUCAGAGGGGGAUAACACUUGGAAACAGGUGCUAAUACCGCAUAACAGUUUAUGCCGCAUGGCAUAAGAGUGAAAGGCGCUUUCGGGUGUCGUUGAUGGAUGGACCCGCGGUGCAUUAGCUAGUUGGUGAGGUAACGGCUCACCAAGGCCACGAUGCAUAGCCGACCUGAGAGGGUGAUCGGCCACACUGGGACUGGGACACGGCCCAGACUCCUACGGGAGGCAGCAGUAGGGAAUCUUCGGCAAUGGACGAAAGUCUGACCGAGCAACGCCGCGUGAGUGAAGAAGGUUUUCGGAUCGUAAAACUCUGUUGUUAGAGAAGAACAAGGACGUUAGUAACUGAACGUCCCCUGACGGUAUCUAACCAGAAAGCCACGGCUAACUACGUG